CCUACGGGUGGCAGCAGUGGGGAAUAUUGCACAAUGGGGGAAACCCUGAUGCAGCGACGCCGCGUGAGUGAAGACGUAAUUCGUUAUGUAAAGCUCUAUCAGCACGGAAGUAAAUGACGGUACCUGAGUAAGAAGCCCCGGCUAACUACGUGCCAGCAGCCGCGGUAAUACGGAGGGGGCAAGCGUUAUCCGGAUUUACUGGGUGUAAUGGGAGCGUAGACGGUAGUGCAAGUCUGGAGUGAAAGGCGGGGGCUCAACCCCCGGACUGCCCUGGAAACUGGACGGCUGGAGUGCAGGGGAGGUAAGUGGAAUUCGUAGUGUAGCGGUGAAAUGCGUAGAUAUUAGGAAGAACACCAGUGGCGAAGGCAGCUUACUGGACUGUAACUGACGUUGAGGCUCGAAAGCGUGGGGAGCAAACAGGAUUAGAUACCCGAGUAGUC
rnacentral:rRNA from 1 species